rnacentral:rRNA from 1 species
UACGUAGGCAGCGAGCGUUGUUCGGAGUUACUGGGCGUAAAGGGUGUGUAGGCGGUUGUUUAAGUUUGGUGUGAAAUCUCCCGGCUCAACUGGGAGGGUGCGCCGAAUACUGAGCGACUAGAGUGCGGGAGAGGAAAGUGGAAUUCCUGGUGUAGCGGUGAAAUGCGUAGAUAUCAGGAGGAACACCGGUGGUGUAGACGGCUUUCUGGACCGUAACUGCGCUGAGACACGAAAGCGUGGGUAGCAAACAGG